rnacentral:rRNA from 1 species
CCCUUAGAUGUCCUGGGCCGCACGCGUGCUACACUGACGCCUACAGCGGGUACUUCCCAGCCCCGAGAGGUGGCUGGUAAUCAGCAAUAGGCGUCGUGAUGGGGAUAGAUCUUUGGAAUUAUGGAUCUUGAACGAGGAAUGCCUAGUAAGCGCAGGUCAUUAGCCUGCGCUGAUUAAGUCCCUGCCCUUUGUACACACCGCCCGUCGCUCCUACCGAUUUCGAGUGGUCCGGUGAAUCUUUCGGACUGCGCGCGGCCUCGUGCCGUGUCGCGGAAAGUCAGGUAAACCUUAUCACUUAGAGGAAGGAGAAGUCGUAACA